GCCACGCAAGGUUCUGUGGGAAGAUGAAUUGGGGGAACAUGGGGUUGAAGUAAAUGAAAGAGCUCCUUGCUGUGACAUUAGUUUGAGCCUUUAAUGGGAUUCUACGGUAAUGUGGCAUUUUCCGAACAUUUUAACCACAGUCUGGUGUGUGUGUGUGUGUGUGUGUGUGUAUGUUACGUUCACAUUUGUGGCUGGUGCUCUCUGGAACAUAAACACACCUACAGCAACACUGCUGUAGAAUGAAGGGGCAGAGCUAGAGGGGCCAAUGGGUCCAAAGGGAGGGGCCCAGGGAAGACUCAGCGGGUUCUCUCACCUAGUUUAGACACUCUACCGCAGCCACUGGGAUCCUGUUCCCACAUGGAAGCGCGCCAUUCAGAUGUGGAAAACACAGCAAAAGUAGCUGAGAUAGGCUUUGGCUGGGAGUGGCCCCAGUGGAAGCCCUGACACCCUCUCCUCCUGGCAGGCCCCAGGCCCCGCACACCUUCUGCCUGCCCCCCGUGGGGCCCUCUGUUCCGCUGCUCUUGGCCUAGGCACAGGGGGCUACUUUUCUGCUGCUGCUCCUGUAUGGUUCCCUUCCCACGCCCCACUAAGGUGGCCUGGCCCUGGACCAGCCUCUCAACCCCCUCUUAUGAUGUUUGCCUCUUGAGGGCUGUCACAACCUCAUUAGGGCCACCCCAUUGAUUAUCCAAGGAUGGGCGCAGGGAGCAGCCCCACCCUGAGCAGGUGGGGCCUUGCUCUCCAAGGGCCUGGGAGAAAGACAGCUCCUGCAGCCACCAUGAUGCCACUAUGCAGAAUCCCCGAGGUUCUGUGGCUUCUGUAGGCUCAGAGCCCUGGACACCAGUGCCAGGGUCAUCGAAGGAAGGAGGAACAGAGUGCGUCACUGAAGGUAGCAGGACAAGAAUCCACAUCGGGAAGCCACCACUUCCUGAGUCAUAUUAUUUCUGUAUCUGGAAAGCAAGCUUCCAGCAGCAACACUGCUGUAGAAUGAAGGGGCAGAGCUAGAGGGGCCAAUGGGUCCAAAGGGAGGGGCCCAGGGAAGACUCAG
rnacentral:lncRNA from 1 species